rnacentral:misc_RNA from 1 species
GAUGAAGAACGUAGCGAAAUGGGAUACUUGGUGUGAAUUGCAGAAUCCCGUGAACCAUCGAGUCUUUGAACGCAAGUUGCGCCCAAAGCCAUUAGGCCGAGGGCACGCCUGCCUGGGCGUCACACGUCGUUGCCCCCCCAUCUACUCCUUCGGGAUUGCGGGGGGCGGAUGAUGGCCUCCCGUGCGCCUCGUCGCGCGGUUGGCAUAAAUGCCAAGUCCUCGGCGACGCACGCCACGACAAUCGGUGGUUGCGAAACCUCGGUUGCCCGUCGUGUGCGGUCGUCGCGCAUCGAGGGCUCGAAAAAAUUGUCGGGCUCCGGCUCGGCUUUCAACGCGACCCCAGGUCAGGAGGGGUUACCCGCUGAAUUUAAGCAUAUCAAUAAGCGGAGGA